GUCGAGCGAAUCAAUAGGAGCUUGCUCCUGUUGGUUAGCGGCGGACGGGUGAGUAACACGUGGGCAACCUGCCUGUAAGACUGGGAUAACUUCGGGAAACCGGAGCUAAUACCGGAUAAUUYCUUCCCUCGCAUGAGGGAAGRUUGAAAGUCGGUUUCGGCUGACACUUACAGAUGGGCCCGCGGCGCAUUAGCUAGUUGGUGAGGUAACGGCUCACCAAGGCGACGAUGCGUAGCCGACCUGAGAGGGUGAUCGGCCACACUGGGACUGAGACACGGCCCAGACUCCUACGGGAGGCAGCAGUAGGGAAUCUUCCACAAUGGACGAAAGUCUGAUGGAGCAACGCCGCGUGAGCGAUGAAGGCCUUCGGGUCGUAAAGCUCUGUUGUCAGGGAAGAACAAGUAUCGGAGUAACUGCCGGUACCUUGACGGUACCUGACCAGAAAGCCACGGCUAACUACGUGCCAGCAGCCGCGGUAAUACGUAGGUGGCAAGCGUUGUCCGGAAUUAUUGGGCGUAAAGCGCGCGCAGGCGGUCCUUUAAGUCUGAUGUGAAAGCCCACGGCUCAACCGUGGAGGGUCAUUGGAAACUGGGGGACUUGAGUGCAGAAGAGGAAAGCGGAAUUCCACGUGUAGCGGUGAAAUGCGUAGAGAUGUGGAGGAACACCAGUGGCGA
rnacentral:rRNA from 1 species